rnacentral:rRNA from 1 species
CGGGUAGCGUAACACGUGAGCAACCUGCCUUUGGUGGUGGGGGAGUAGCCGGGCUAACGCCCCGGGGUAAUACCGCAUACGGUCAUCGAGAGGAGUCUCUUGGUGAAGAAACCUCCGGGGCACAGAGAGGGGCUCGCGGCCUAUCAGCUAGUUGGGGGGGUAAUGGCCCACCAAGGCGACGACGGGUAGCUGGUCUGAGAGGAUGGCCAGCCACAUUGGGACUGAGAGACGGCCCAG